rnacentral:rRNA from 1 species
UAGCUAGUUGGUGAGGUAAUGGCCCACCAAGGCGACGAUCGGUAGCCGGACUGAGAGGUUGAACGGCCACAUUGGGACUGAGACACGGCCCAGACUCCUACGGGAGGCAGCAGUGGGGAAUAUUGCACAAUGGGGGAAACCCUGAUGCAGCGACGCCGCGUGGAGGAAGAAGGUCUUCGGAUUGUAAACUCCUGUUGUUGGGGAAGAUAAUGACGGUACCCAACAAGGAAGUGACGGCUAACUACGCGCCAGCAGCCGCGGUAGAACGUAGGUCACAAGCGUUGUCCGGAAUUACUGGGUGUAAAGGGAGCGCAGGCGGGAAGACAAGUUGGAAGUGAAAUCUAUGGGCUCAACCCAUAAACUGCUUUCAAAACUGUUUUUCUUGAGUAGUGCAGAGGUAGGCGGAAUUCCCGGUGUAGCGGUGGAAUGCGUAGAUAUCGGGAGGAACACCAGUGGCGAAGGCGGCCUACUGGGCACCAACUGACGCUGAGGCUCGAAAGUGUGGGUAGCAAACAGGAUUAGAUACCCUGGUAGUCCACACCGUAAACGAUGAUUACUAGGUGUUGGAGGAUUGACCCCUUCAGUGCCGCAGUUAACACAAUAAGUAAUCCACCUGGGGAGUACGACCGCAAGGUUGAAACUCAAAGGAAUUGACGGGGGCCCGCACAAGCAGUGGAGUAUGUGGUUUAAUUCGACGCAACGCGAAGAACCUUACCAAGUCUUGACAUCCCUUGACAGGCAUAGAAAUAUGUUUUCUCUUCGGAGCAAGGAGACAGGUGGUGCAUGGUUGUCGUCGGCUCGUGUCGUGAGAUGUUGGGUUAAGUCCCGCAACGAGCGCAACCCUUAUGGUCAGUUACUACGCAAGAGGACUCUGGCCAGACUGCCGUUGACAAAACGGAGGAAGGUGGGGAUGACGUCAAAUCAUCAUGCCCUUUAUGACUUGGGCUACACACGUACUACAAUGGCGUUAAACAAAGAGAAGCGAGACCGCGAGGUGGAGCAAAACUCAGAAACAACGUCCCAGUUCGGACUGCAGGCUGCAACUCGCCUGCACGAAGUCGGAAUUGCUAGUAAUCGUGGAUCAGCAUGCCACGGUGAAUACGUUCCCGGGCCUUGUACACACCGCCCGUCACACCAUGAGAGCCGGGGGGACCCGAAGUCGGUAGUCUAACCGCAAGGAGGACGCCGCCGAAGGUAAAACUGGUGAUUGGGGUGAAGUCGGAACAAGGUAGCCGUAGGAGAACCUGCGGCUG